rnacentral:rRNA from 1 species
GACGAACGCUGGCGGCGUGCUUAACACAUGCAAGUCGAACGGAAAGGCCCUGCUUUUGUGGGGUGCUCGAGUGGCGAACGGGUGAGUAACACGUGAGUAACCUGCCCUUGACUUUGGGAUAACUUCAGGAAACUGGGGCUAAUACCUGCUAGGAGCUCCUGCUGCAUGGUGUGGGUUGGAGAGUUUCGGCGGUUGGGGAUGGACUCGCGGCUUAUCAGCUUGUUGGUGGGGUAGUGGCUUACCAAGGCUUUGACGGGUAGCCGGCCUGCGAGGGUGACCGGCCACAUUGGGACUGAGGUACGGCCCAGACUCCUACGGGAGGCAGCAGUGGGGAAUAUUGCACAAUGGGCGGAAGCCUGAUGCAGCAACGCCGCGUGCGGGAUGACGGCUUUCGGGUUGUAAACCGCUUUCGCCUGUGACGAAGCGUGAGUGACGGUAAUGGGUAAAGAAGCACCGGCUAACUACGUG